GAUGAACGCUGGCGGCGUGCCUAAUACAUGCAAGUCGAGCGAACGGACGAGAAGCUUGCUUCUCUGAUGUUAGCGGCGGACGGGUGAGUAACACGUGGAUAACCUACCUAUAAGACUGGGAUAACUUCGGGAAACCGGAGCUAAUACCGGAUAAUAUUUUGAACCGCAUGGUUCAAAAGUGAUAGACGGUCUUGCUGUCACUUAUAGAUGGAUCCGCGCUGCAUUAGCUAGUUGGUAAGGUAACGGCUUACCAAGGCAACGAUGCAUAGCCGACCUGAGAGGGUGAUCGGCCACACUGGAACUGAGACACGGUCCAGACUCCUACGGGAGGCAGCAGUAGGGAAUCUUCCGCAAUGGGCGAAAGCCUGACGGAGCAACGCCGCGUGAGUGAUGAAGGUCUUCAGAUCGUAAAACUCUGUUAUUAGGGAAGAACAUAUGUGUAAGUAACUGUGCACAUCUUGACGGUACCUAAUCAGAAAGCCACGGCUAACUACGUG
rnacentral:rRNA from 1 species